AUUGAACGCUGGCGGCAGGCUUAACACAUGCAAGUCGAGCGAGCGGCGGACGGGUGAGUAAUGUCUGGGAAACUGCCUGAUGGCGGGGGAUAACUACUGGAAACGGUAGCUAAUACCGCAUACCAUCAGAUGUGCCCAGAUGGGAUUAGCUAGUAGGUGUGGUAAUGGCUCACCUAGGCGACGAUCCCUAGCUGGUCUGAGAGGAUGACCAGCCACACGGGAACGGAGACACGGUCCAGACUCCUAGGGGAGGAAGCAGUGGGGAAGAUUGCAAAAUGGGGGCAAGCCUGAUGCAGCCAGGCCGCGUGGGGGAAGAAGGCCUUCGGGUUGUAAAGCACGUUAAGCGAGGAGGCGGUACUCGCAGAAGAAGCACCGGCUAACUCCGUGCCAGCAGCCGCGGUAAUAC
rnacentral:rRNA from 1 species